UACGUAGGGAGCAAGCGUUUGUCCGGAAUCAUUGGGCGUAAAGCGCGCGUAGGCGGCCUCAUAAGUCCGUUGUGAAAGUCAAAGGCUCAACCUUUGAAAGCCGAUGGAUACUGUGGGGCUAGAGUCCGGAAGAGGCGAGUGGAAUUCCUGGUGUAGCGGUGGAAUGCGCAGAUAUCGGGAGGAACACCAGUGGCGAAGGCGACUUCCUGGCCUGUUCUUGACGCUGAGGCGCGAAAGCUAGGGGAGCAAACGGG
rnacentral:rRNA from 1 species